rnacentral:rRNA from 1 species
CACAUGCAAGUCGAGGGGCAGCAUGGUCUUAGCUUGCUAAGGCCGAUGGCGACCGGCGCACGGGUGAGUAACACGUAUCCAACCUGCCGUCUACUCUUGGACAGCCUUCUGAAAGGAAGAUUAAUACAAGAUGGCAUCAUGAGUCCGCAUGUUCACAUGAUUAAAGGUAUUCCGGUAGACGAUGGGGAUGCGUUCCAUUAGAUAGUAGGCGGGGUAACGGCCCACCUAGUCUUCGAUGGAUAGGGGUUCUGAGAGGAAGGUCCCCCACAUUGGAACUGAGACACGGUCCAAACUCCUACGGGAGGCAGCAGUGAGGAAUAUUGGUCAAUGGGCGAGAGCCUGAACCAGCCAAGUAGCGUGAAGGAUGACUGCCCUAUGGGUUGUAAACUUCUUUUAUAAAGGAAUAAAGUCGGGUAUGGAUACCCGUUUGCAUGUACUUUAUGAAUAAGGAUCGGCUAACUCCGUGCCAGCAGCCGCGGUAAUACGGAGGAUCCGAGCGUUAUCCGGAUUUAUUGGGUUUAAAGGGAGCGUAGAUGGAUAUUUAAGUCAGUUGUGAAAGUUUGCGGCUCAACCGUAAAAUUGCAGUUGAUACUGGAUAUCUUGAGUGCAGUUGAGGCAGGCGGAAUUCGUGGUGUAGCGGUGAAAUGCUUAGAUAUCACGAAGAACUCCGAUUGCGAAGGCAGCCUGCUAAGCU